ensembl:lncRNA
CGCCUGUGAUGGUAUCAUUUAAGGGUGUAAAAUGGCCGACUCUUUGUCCGACAGUGAUGGAGCCUAACGCGGUGUAAAACUCGCACUUCGCAUUUAUUUAGUUGGAAAAGCACGUCGCCUCACAGUGUGUUUGCGUUCUGUGCGUGCGUGCGUGCGUGCGUGCGCAUGUGUGUGUCUCGCAGUUACGUGCUGGCAGGUCCUGCUCGGCGCUGCGAUGUACUGUGAGAAGAACGCGUUUUCCCCCUCGGACAUCCUGCAGGAGAGCCGAACAAUGGUCCCUAAACGCGAUCCGGCCGCAGUUCAGCACCAGGCGCGGCGGACAGCGCUCUCGCGUCACCGCGGUUCCACCUGAGCGCGCGAGCGGCCGCGGGAUGCGGCGCGAGGCUGGACAGCUCCCCGUCCGCGAGCUCUCGCGUUCGCCACAUGAACGACACGGACGUCGCGACGGCCCACGGCGCGAGCGCAGCGCGGACACGAAGAACAUCUCUCUCACACCAACGCGUGUCGCUCUCAAAGACUGCAGACCAGAAGUAUUCGGGGUUGCAAUGCUUAGUUUUAUUGGAAAUAUAAUCAUUAUGAGCAGCAGGGCAUACAAAAAAAGGGGGUGUUAGAAUAUGUAUAAUAAUUUCUUCUCCUCUUGCGACGUUCCUCUAGUUUGCGCGGUUUAAUUAGAUCGCGUCGACGCGGAAACUAGGCUCCUCUCUUGGCAUUCACCGCGUGCCUUAAUUGUAUGACAUUAAAUCAAGGUCCGCUGUGAACACGGAGAGUCGGAGUCUGCGGUCAAAGCACAUCGCUGCGCAUCAGACACAGAAACACUUCUCCAUUCUCGAACAUCGGAGUCUGGUUACGGAGUCUCUCAAUGGAACGGACGCUGCUGGCCCUCGAUCCCCGGCCCCAGAGUCGACGGCGUGGAUAGGAACCCGGCAGUCACCGCUGACGGACCCACGCAACGCCGUCUCCCGUGGUCGCCGUUGCCACGCAUGCCAUCUCACAACAAAUCAGCGCCUCGGCUCACGGUGCAUGAUGGAGGAAGGAAGGAAGGAAGGAAGCAAGGAAGGAAGGAAGUCAGGCGGCAUUUCCCGGCGAGCCUUCGGGUACCAGGACACCGCUCAGGUGGGAGGGGAGGGUAGUCGGGGUGGGGGCCCGGGGCGGGGAGGGGGUACCAGUGGGGGGAGGGGGCUCACGUGCGACAAUUUGUCAGUGUGGGGCUCAACAAUGAAUUGCAGUUUAUCGACAAGCGCGCACAAAGCUCCGAAGGCUACAACAAAAGCUCAAUAAAAGUGAGCGAUAGCCACGCUGAGAUGUUAGUUCUCUCUAAUUUCCUGUAAUAGACUUCUGUAUGCUGCAGAAUUUAAUUUAAACCGGACGGGCUGAGACUGGAGUAUGUUAGUCCCCCUUUCCCUGCCUCUCCCCGUCUCUGCCUGUCUCUUCCUCUGAAGUGUCGCGAUGCCGCGAAGAGCCCCGCAACAUCUAGCUGCAGCUGCGAUGCGAUACGCAAAAUCACAAGACGGAAAUCAAUCUGUUGCUUAAUACGCAAUCUUGCUUUGAACGCAGAAACAACAAGAUUGUGAAAUGGCA